AACGAACGCUGGCGGCAUGCCUAACACAUGCAAGUCGAACGAAAACUUCGGGUUUUGUGGCGCACGGGUGCGUGCCGCGUGGGAACUUGCACUUAGGUUAGGUAUCACUGCCCGUGAGGGAUGCUAAUAACGGUUAAUGUCUUCGGACAAAAGAUGUAUCGCUUUGGGAUGGGCCCGCGUUGGAUUAGGUGGUUGGUAGGGUAAAAGCCUGCCAUGGCGACGAUGCAGAGCUGGUCGGAGAGGAAGACAAUCAACACUGGGACUACGACACGGCCCAGCCUCCGACGGAAGGGAGCGGUGGGUAACAUAAUACAAUGGACGAUAGCCUGACCCAGCAGUGCGGCGUAAGUGAUGAAUGCCUUAGUGAAGUAAAGCCCUUUUACCCGAGAUGAUAAUGACAGUACCGGGAGAAGAAGCACCGGCUAACUCCGUG
rnacentral:rRNA from 1 species